UGGGGAAUCUUGCGCAAUGGACGAAAGUCUGACGCAGCCACGCCGCGUGAGUGAAGAAGGCCUUCGGGUUGUAAAGCUCUGUCGAGUGGGACGAAAAUGCUCAGGGUGAAUAGCCAUGAGUACUGACGGUACCAUUAGAGGAAGCACCGGCUAACUCCGUGCCAGCAGCCGCGGUAAUACGGAGGGUGCAAGCGUUGCUCGGAAUUAUUGGGCGUAAAGGGUAGGUAGGUGGUCUUAUUUGUCGCAGGUGAAAGCCUUGAGCUUAACUCAAGAAGGGCCUGCGAAACGGUAAGACUAGAGUUCUAGAGAGGGUCGUGGAAUUCCCGGUGUAGCGGUGAAAUGCGUAGAGAUCGGGAGGAACACCAGAGGCGAAAGCGGCGGCCUGGCUAGAGACUGACACUCAACUACGAAAGCGUGGGGAGCAAACAGG
rnacentral:rRNA from 1 species